AGUGCGCCAGACUCUUCCGUCUUCCGGAAGCGGAGCCGGACUGGCAACGGCUGGUGUCGCGAUAGCGGCGGUGGCGGGCACUGCGGAAGCGAGAAGGAGUAAAGGGGAUCCCGGCCUGGCUCCCGCGCCGGGGUGGAGCACCAUGGACGAAGCGGGCAGCUGUGCGAGCGGCGGAGGCUUCCGCCCGGGUGUGGACAGCCUAGACGAGCCACCCAACAGCCGCAUCUUCCUGGUGAUCAGCAAGUACACGCCCGAGUCGGUGCUGAGGGAGCGCUUCUCGCCCUUCGGAGAGAUCCAGGACAUCUGGGUGGUGCGGGACAAGCACACCAAGGAGUCCAAGGGCAUCGCCUUCGUCAAGUUUGCCCGCAGCUCGCAGGCCUGCAGGGCCAUGGAGGAGAUGCACGGCCAGUGCCUCAGCCCCAACGACACGAAGCCUAUCAAGGUUUUCAUUGCUCAGUCCAGAUCAUCUGGAAGUCACCGAGAUGUUGAAGAUGAAGAACUUACAAGAAUAUUUGUUAUGAUACCAAAGUCCUACACAGAAGAAGAUCUACGGGAAAAAUUUAAGGUAUAUGGAGAUAUCGAGUAUUGCAGCAUUAUUAAGAAUAAAGUAACUGGAGAAAGUAAAGGUUUGGGUUAUGUGCGAUACUUAAAACCAUCACAAGCUGCCCAAGCAAUAGAAAACUGUGAUCGAAGCUUUAGGGCAAUCUUGGCUGAACCUAAAAAUAAAGCAUCUGAAUCCUCAGAACAAGAUUAUUACAGUAAUAUGAGGCAGGAGACUUUGGGACAUGAACCUAGAGUAAAUAUGUUUCCAUUUGUUGGAGAACAACAAUCUGAAUUUUCAAGUUUUGACAAGAAUGACAGCAGAGGCCAGGAAGCCAUCUCCAAACGCCUGUCAGUUGUAUCAAGAGUUCCUUUCACCGAAGAGCAGCUUUUCAGCAUUUUUGAUAUAGUACCAGGAUUGGAAUACUGUGAAGUUCAACGAGACCCUUAUUCUAAUUAUGGUCAUGGAGUGGUUCAGUAUUUUAAUGUAGCAUCAGCUAUUUAUGCAAAAUACAAGUUGCAUGGAUUUCAGUACCCUCCUGGGAAUCGGAUAGGUGUUUCCUUCAUUGAUGAUGGGAGUAAUGCAACAGAUCUCCUUAGAAAAAUGGCAACGCAGAUGGUAGCUGCACAGCUUGCAUCAAUGGUGUGGAAUAACCCAAGUCAGCAGCAAUUUUUGCAAUUUGGAGGAAGUUCUGGAUCGCAGCUGCCUCAAAUCCAGACAGAUGUGGUACUUCCAUCAUGCAAGAAAAAAGCCCCUCCUGACACUCCUGUGAAAGAAAGACUUUUUAUCGUGUUUAAUCCUCAUCCUUUACCUUUAGAUGUACUAGAGGAUAUAUUCUGCCGUUUUGGUAACCUGAUCGAAGUUUACCUUGUGUCAGGAAAAAAUGUGGGGUAUGCCAAGUAUGCAGAUAGAAUAAGUGCUAAUGAUGCCAUUACUACUUUACAUGGAAAGAUCCUGAAUGGAGUCAGACUUAAAGUUAUGCUGGCAGAUUCCCCAAGAGAAGAAUCUAACAAACGACAGAGAACUUACUGAUUCUUGAGAAACUAACUCAAGAUCCACGGAUCCUGGGAACUGAAGGUACAGUAUUGCUAGGGGAUCAGACAGAAAUAACUUAGUUAAAACAUGAAAUUGCAGUUCACUCAUUACAAUGACCAUGCUUUAAUUGUGUUUAAUUAGAAAAGACUUGUCCUCAGGAGAAUAGGCAGGUCCCACUGCAGUUUGAGAAAGUUACGAGGCCUUCUGAAAAUCCAUUUGAGUGGUUAUCGUAGGAAGAGGGAGGCCCAUGACUGUUGUAUGUGAAUUGCAGCCAAUGUCUAGAUGUCAGGGUCCAUGUGAGCUGGCUAACAUGCAAGCUGACCAAGACUACAACCACUGUGGUGCCCUAGAGACUGCCUUUCUGACCACAGCGCUGCAGAAUUGGUGGAAGGAAGGCCUCAGAAGACUGUUCUAGGGAAAUUGUUUGUAUUUGAGAUGUAAAAAUCAGGAAUUAUGUGAAAAGGCAAGUGCUAUGUUCCACAGAAAUUGGGAAGAAUAUUGAGCACAGUAGGAUAACCAGAGUGCUUACAGGUACUCCUGUGAAUCUACACUCUGAAUUUUCCUCCCUCUCUCUCCAUUUCUGGUUUUGUAGGUAAAUGGUGUUACUACUGAUUUUCUUGUUCAUAUACUAUCAUUUUCCAAUGUUAGUAAUACAUAGGUCACAGCAUUCAUUAGCCAGAGUUCUUAGGAUUUUGUUACUUCUGUUAUUUUUAUGGACUUUUUUUAAUGGUAAAAGAAGAGAUUUAAAGUCAUCUAAUUAAAAGUUAUCUAAUUUACUGGAAGAUCUGAUGUACAAAAAGACAUAAUUUUCCUUUCAUCACAGACAGAGUCCAUCUCUUGUAUUGGUUUUGGGCCCUUAAAGUUAGUUUUUGUGGUCCUUUUAUUAUUGAUCCAUUGGCACAAAAAAACUUUCUUCCUGUUAUUCGUUAAUACAUUAGUAACUUAAGAAACAUAAGUAUCAGUGUGACAUUUGGGAGAAGGUGGAGAAGGAAAUCACAAUUUGCUACUUGUAAGACUGACUUUAGGAAGAAUAUAGUAGUUGUUGAGAGCACUGAGGCUGGCUGACCUGCUUUGGCAAUGUCAAAAUCAGACCAGCAAUGGCAAAGGAAAAGACUACAUGUGGAGAGAGAGCACCUAUCUUUGCUUUGUCAUCAUGAGCUCCUUCAGGUUCAUCUCCCACUAGUACCAUCUUGGCUUUAUCCCUUCACCAGAAGCUCCUAACAAGGGCUCAUUUCCUACUACUUUUACCCCAAAUCUGGGAAUCACAGACACUGAGUGUAGUCCCGUCUUUCACCCAGCCCAGUUUUAUUCCCCUGCAAUAAGUCAAAAUAUUUCACACAAAAAAUGGAAAUGGAUCUCCUUACAUCAUCCUGCAAGAUUACCAGUGUGCCUGGAAUACCCAGAUUCUAUCUGUUUAAUAGCUUCCAGUUACCUGUAAUAUAAGAAUGUAUCAUAUUAUUGAUAUUAUUAGUCUUCAGUUCACCCAGUAGCAUAUUUCAUAAAUGAUAUCAACAUCAUCUUUUUUAACCUGUUUUCUCAUCCAGAAAAUAAAAGCUAAUAAAGACUAUAUAAAUAACACAAAUGCUUGCAACCUUCUCCCAAUUUUCUGCAGAAAAUACCCAUGAAAACAUUCAAGUAAGAAGAAAAAUUGGAAUCAUUCAUAGAAACUUAGAUAAGAAUAGUGGAAACUAGAAAAAAUUUUACUAAACAAAGCAUAAGGCAUAGAUUAUUUUUAAAUCGCUGACUCAUAUUCCACAUUGUUGUGUAAAGUAAAAUGAGACCUUAGCUUCCUGUCAUCCAACAGUACUUACUAACCUGUGUAUAGAAGGCUGUUCUAAUAAUGUGAAACAGCUGUGGAAGUCCCAUCAGAAAAGGCUUUCGUUGUGCAUUUCUUAACUAGCAGCUCUGAAUCUGCAUUAUCUUAGAACUUUUCCUUAACCAAGAAAACCACAACUGGCAUUCACCUGGUGAUGGGGAGGGUCAUAAAAGGGAUCCCACCUCUGACCAGAAGAGCAAAGCUAAAUGACGGAGUCAGCUUAAGUGACCCAGAAAGAUCUUUUAGCUUCUGCCCAUUGGCAGAUUUCAUAUACUUACAGCAGGAUUUUUUUAAGGUAUUCUUUCCAGUCACUAUGCUAAGAACUUUGAUCUUGUUGCAAGGAAAUCCCUGACCCUCUCUGCCCUAAUCCUACAUCUGAUGCAUGUCCUUGGGUUUCCUGGAAGAAUGAAAUGGAGCUAACAUUUCUGACCACGUGCUGGAUAUUACAUCAUUACUUGAGUGGUCUGGUUAAAUCCAUCCUCAUUGAGAAAUGAGUAAAUGGGCAAGAUGUUUGAACUGGCACUUCAUAAAAGAAGACCAAGAAGGGAUUUCAGUUUUUUGUUUUUGUUUUUCUGUUUUUUUUAGCAGAUGAAGGGAAGGUUGUGUAAAUUCCUUGGCUUUUCUAAAGAAACAGUAAAACAUUCUCUUUUUUUACUUUGACAAGUAAUGCAAGUUGAAUAAUUUUUUAAAUCUAUUAAAUGUUCAGUAAUAUUAGUCAUCAAGGAAAUGCAUUUUGAAACUACAGUAAGAUACACUGAUAAGAACAGCAAAAAUUAAGAUACUGACGAUAGCAGAUGUUGGUGAGAGUGUGGAGCAACAGAAUCACUCAUAAACUGCUGGUGGGAGUAUAAAUUGGUUCAGCCACUUUGGAAAUAUUUGAUAAAUGUCUGUUAACACUAAAACAUAUCUACCAUCAACUCAGCAAUUCCACUUCUAAGUGUAUAUCCAACAAAAAUAAGAAAAUGCGUGUACCAAAAUAAUAUAACCAUUAUUGGUAAUAGCCUCAAAGUAGAAACAACCAUAGUGUCCAUCAACAGAAUGGAUACAGUGAAAUACCCUAUAGCAAGGAAAUGAGUUAACUCUUAAAUACAUGUAACAAUUUCAAUGAAUAUUAUAAUGUUGACAAACCAGCCAACAAAAGAAAAUACUGUGAUUCCCACUAUGAAAGGGUUGAAAACCAAAGCAUGCCUUUAGACAGAAUUGAGUGAGGAGGUGUCAAAAGGGGGCAGAGGGGCUUAGGAUGUACUGAUAAUCUUGUCUUUCUUGACCAGCAUGGUGAUAAGUUGGUGAUAACUUUCUGAGUGGUAGUUUUUAUGGUUUAUGCAUUUUUUUGUGUCUUGUAUUUCAUUUAAAGUUUUAGUUUCUUAAUGCAUUAAGCAAUAUCAACAUGAGGCUGAUGGGACAGACACUUCUGCAGGUGAGAGAAGAGCAAUAUCCUAAGGCAUUUAGAAGGAGGGGCUUGCUUUAUUCUUCCAGGGUGUCUAAAGCAAGAAAUAUUAGAAAAUAUCUGCUUUCACUCCUUCUCUGGUGCAAUUGGGCAUUAUGAUGAUGAGGACAUGAGAAGAGUAAAAGUAGGAAAAGAAAGCAAGAAGCUAAAUUCUAAGUUCUGUCAAACAGUAAAUAGUCACAGAAUUAAAGAAAAUUGAACCCAUAAUGAAGAACGAUGAAUAUCAAACUGCUUCAGAACCCUGUGGGUCCUCAUGAGCCAGCAAAAGGAAGAUAAGAUGGAGGGGUUUCCCCCAAGUUGUUCAUCAACCAGAUCAGAACUGUUUUCGUCAAUGUAUGUAUGUAUUGUGCUUAAUAAGCUUUCUUUGGAUUCUGCAACUUAAAUAAGUUACAGUAAACCCAGAGCACCCUCAGAUGAAUAUAGUGAGAGAAAAGGUGGAGAUUUAAAAGGUUCAUCACUGAGAUUCAUCCUUAGAAUAAGAGAUGUUCCCAAAGAAGACAAAACAAGUUAACAAUCAGUAGUUUUAAUAGAAGAAACCUCAAUUUUAAAAAAAAGGCUCGAGUCUGAAGAUCCUCUUCUGCACAUUAGAUGCCGGCUGGAAUGGAGCAGUGUCUGCAGAGUUGUGUAGUUCAGGAUUCCUCUACUCAUCCAGAUGUGACGGUAACAGAAAAGGAUUCUGUGAUGUGGAACGUACUACUCAUUUACCCUUUGUAGAAAAAAAAAUUACUUGAAUAUAUCAGUACACUACCAGAAUGAAUCAAAAUUCAGAGUAAAAGAAUGAGAAAAGAAAGGCCAGUCGCUAGAUCCUUUGGGCUUCCUUGGAUUUCCUGGAGGAAUGAAAUAGGCCAGCAUUUGGUGCCCACCUGCUUGACACUACAUCAGCAGCUGAGUGGAGUGUAAAAGCUGAAAGCCAUCCUUGGAACCUGAUAAUUCCCCUGAAGUGCGUUUUAAAGGACAGAAGUUGUACAGGUCUUGUUCUUUGACCACAAGGUAAUAAAACCAGAAAAUAAAAAACACAAUCAUCUGGAAAAUAACUUUAAAACCUUCUAAACAGCUAUUUUGUCAAGAAAAAUGCGGUAAAAUAUAGUGAAAACAAAACAGCAAAAAAAAAAAAAAAAAGUAGAGGAUGAUGUGUUUAAAGUAAUACUGAAAGGCAAAUUGAUAGCCAUUGCAUAGAAAGGGAAAAUGAAUGAAUUAAACAUGCAGCACUUCGGGAACAAAAGGAACAUAAUAAAGAUAAGAUUAACGUUACCCUGACAUCAAAACUUAAAGGCAAUUUAAUAUUAAAGCUAUAGAUUCUUAGUUCACCCAGGAAUAUGAAUGCAAACCUCAAAAUUUUAGAAGGUACAAAUAUGUCCGAAGAACAAUUCACCAUUGCCAAGUAGGGUUUAUCCUUUGAUGAAAAAGCAGUUCACAUUAAGGAAAAAAUUUAUUAUAGUACAUGUCUUAGUAGGGCCAUAUAUGCGAUCUGUUUGACCAGUUAGUUGAUCAUUCUUGUGAUCAUACAGAUGCCACAGACUUUCAGAUUAUGUGUGGUUUACUUGAGUCGCUACCUGGAGUGGGUGGGAUUUGCCCGAUUUAUUUGAAGGGAUCACUACAUGACUGCUAUAUAAUGGGAAGGCACAGAAUGGAUACUGAUGAAGCAAUCAGAAUGUCUAAAACUGCUUCUUAGAAAAAGCUAAAUUUAUUGAGCCCUUACUGUUUCCCAGGCUAAUUGCUUUACACACAUCUCAAAACCUAUGAAGUAGAUACUAUUGUUCCUGUUUUAAAGAAAGGGAGCUGAAGUACAUUCAAAGGGAUGAAGUAACUUGCCCAAGAUUACACAGCCAACAGAUGGGAAAGCUGGGCUUCAAAUAAAGGCAGAAUUAAUCAGAACCCACACUUGACCUCUGCACUAAAUAUCAAUGGCUGUAACAAUUCAGAAACCACCACACACACAAAUUGAAUAUUACACAGCAACAACAAAUCCUUCCAAAACUAUGUUGUGAAGAAAGCAAGAGAGUUAAAGAUUACAGAUGGCAGGAUGAAGAGGAUGACUCAGUAGUUUGGGGGUCAGAGCAUUGGUUCCUUUUUCACCCUGGUUGUACAAGUUUAUCUAACAAAUAUAUUGAGCACUACUGAGUGCCAGGGAAUGCAAUGAUGAGAAGAAGAAAAACUUUCUUGCCCUGAUGUAGUGUAGUCUAAUCAUGAUGUAUUUUGAAGAAAUGGUGUAGUGUGUUAUGGGGUCAGCUGCCACUUGGGUAAGGCAGGCUGGUUCCUCCUAAACCUACCACUUUCAGAGGAUUUGCCAGAAUGAAAGAAUUCACCUUUUUCUGUCCCCCUUCACUUGUCCACACUUAAGUCUCUUUUUUUGUUUGUUUUACAAGGUCUUACUGUUUUGCUUUGGAGUUUUAAAUUACAGUGUAGUGCACAAAUCACAAAUGUAAGAUUCAAUAAAUUUUGACAAAUGCAUGCAUUCUUAUAACCCACUGUUAGAGACUGUUUCCGUGAGUUCCUUACAAGUCUCCAUUUCUUGCAAACAGGCACUGUCUCUUUUCAGGAAUGUUUAUAUAGACAACAGUCUUGGAAGACAGAGUCUCCUUCUGGAGCAAGAGGCUGGUUUGUUUACUGUCCAGUAUAGUAAAGAUAAUGUCCCCUUCCAGGGCAAAGGACAGGCAGACUUACUGCCUUUUAUAAAAGAUUUAGGUUCCCUAAGCUUAGGGUUCCUCAGUUCUGUCACAGACUUAACUAUGUGCACAGCAUCCAUCUGGACCUCUCAGUGUCACCCCCUGUAAGGCUUAGGAGGCAAGAACCAAUGCAAACAUGAAGCUCAGGCUGCUUAUUGUGCUGUGGAUAAUGAAGUCCUUUACAAACGUUCACAUGUUUAGUGAUGUUUUCUUGUUUACUGUGUUAGGCUAACUUGUUAUCUUGCAAGCAGGGUAAAAAUCUCAGGCCCUUCGGAGUUCUUGACAGCCACACUCCUUCAAAAUGCAGAUCAUUUCCCUUGGAGCAGCACAUUCCCUCAUGCCCCUUUCCAAUCAGUCUCACAAGAGAUGAUCCUCUUUCUGAUUGUUAUCACAAUAUACAGUUUUGCCUUAUCACAUUCAUGGAACAUACCCACUUUUGUGCUUAUCUGCUUCACUCAGCAUAAAGUCUGUGAGAUUCAUCCAUGCUUUGUGUAUAUCAGUGGUUCAUUCCUUCUCAUGGCCAAGUAACUUUCCAUUAUAAGACUAAACUUCAAUUUAUUUAUCCAUUCUCCUGUUGAUGGGUAUUUGAGUUGCUUUCAGUUUGGAGAAUAAAGCUGCAAUAAACAUUCACAUAUUUAAUAACAUUUUCAUGUAUACAGGACAUUGAGAAUAAGUCAUUGUAGAGACUCUGGAUUCUACUAUCUUCUUCUGAAGAAUGUUUCUUUUUGUUAUAGCAGGCACUGUUUUUAUGUGGACUCAAGUUUCCAGCUCUGUCUUUUGCAGUGAGCAGCCGUUAAAGUUUCUGUCAUCGCUUCCAGCCUUCCAGCUGUUGUCUUCCACCAGACCUGUUAUGGUCUCUCCAACCCAAAUGUAGCCAAAGGAGUCAGCCAAAAAUUUGGGUGAGGUUUGUCAGAGAUUUUGAGACUCUAUUUUGUGACUCUGUCCUUUCUUGGGUAUCCUCCCUCAUUCAGAGUUACUUGGGCAUCCUUAAACUCUGCCCAUUGACCCUUCAAGCCAGUAAAACUGCACUUUUCUGAGUAUUAGCAUUCCUGCACUUGGGAGGACCUGAUAGUGCCCGCAGGCAGAAAGCUUUAUAAACGAAUCUUACCUAAUGUGAUUUCCUCCUUUCAAAAUGUUUACUCCCCUCAGUUUCUACCUGCUUUUGAUCAUUUUCCAGUGCCUUCAGAUAUAGUAAUUCUUUCUGAUUGUGUAGUCAAGAAUGCCCAUUAAAUUUUUUAUUUCAA